rnacentral:misc_RNA from 1 species
AAGUCGUAACAAGGUUUCCGUAGGUGAACCUGCGGAAGGAUCAAUCCAAAUAUAUACAAUUCAAUUGUAUAUUUACAUUUAAAUGGUAAUCAAUCACUUUGUGAAUGAUUAUCGUGAUUACAAUAUAUAGACGGUGUCUUAGUAAUCAAACAACAUUUUAGCCAUUUGAAAUUAAAUGAAAACAAAAAGUUGAUACACAACUAUUAGUGGUGGAUCACUUGGCUCGCAG